rnacentral:rRNA from 1 species
CUAAUACAUGCAAGUCGAACGCUUUGUGGUUCAACUGAUUUGAAGAGCUUGCUCAGAUAUGACGAUGGACAUUGCAAAGAGUGGCGAACGGGUGAGUAACACGUGGGAAACCUACUCUUAGCAGGGGAUAACAUUUGGAAACAGAUGCUAAUACCGUAUAACAAUAGCAACCGCAUGGUUGCUACUUAAAAGAUGGUUCUGCUAUCACUAAGAGAUGGUCCCGCGGUGCAUUAGUUAGUUGGUGAGGUAAUGGCUCACCAAGACGAUGAUGCAUAGCCGAGUUGAGAGACUGAUCGGCCACAAUGGGACUGAGACACGGCCCAUACUCCUACGGGAGGCAGCAGUAGGGAAUCUUCCACAAUGGGCGAAAGCCUGAUGGAGCAACGCCGCGUGUGUGAUGAAGGGUUUCGGGUCGUAAAGCUCUGUCCUCAAGGAAGAUAAUGACGGUACUUGAGGAGGAAGCCCCGGCUAACUACGUGCC